UCGGAUAUGGUGUAACGGCUAACAUUGCCGCCUCUCACUAUGAGGAUACGUGCGAAACGCGGCAGCUCGGGGUUCGAUUCCCCGUAUCCGAG